UAUUCCUUUGUCAUUUCAGUCCAAGCUUCGGAGCUCCGGGACCUUGCCAUGAGGUCAAAUUCCACUGAAGGCCUAGUUGAGGAACAGCAGACUGCUUUGGGAACACUGGAAUAUGAAACACAGACACUGAAGACAGAAAAUGCAGUUCAAGACCAGGAGCUGGUGACCCUUAAUGAAAGGUCAGAUAUCACUGAGGCUCUGGUGGAUGAGCACAACAUUGUGAUGGAGGAGCUGAAGACUGAGCUGGAUGGACUGGAAAGGGAGAAUGCAGCCCAGGACAUUGAACUGGAUGUCAUGGAAAACAGGUCGAACUCCACUAAUGUCCAGAUCAAUGAAAUACUGUCUGACAUGGUGGAGCUGAAUACUGUGAUAGACAAGCUGGGAAAAGAGAGCACAGACAGACCAAAGGUGGCAUUUACAGCAGGUUUGGGGUUAAACGGGAAACUGGGUCCUUUCAAUUUCCAAUAUUCACUUGUCUACAGGAGAGUCAUGACGAACAUUGGCAAUGCUUACAGUCCAUCAACAGGUAAUCUCUUUAAUAAACAAGAGCCUGUUCCAGGGCAUGUAGGUGUAGUUUUUUGUGAUGAAACACUGGACUUACACUUGGAUUGUGUUCCAUCUAUGCAGGUAUCUUCACCGCCCCUGUGAGUGGAGUGUAUUUUUUCAGAUUCACCGUCGGCACAGAAAGCGAGUCAUUCAGCAGUGGGGCCAUACUCUACAAGAACAAGCAGCAGGUGAUCAACAUCUUCACACAUGACAGAAACGGCAAGCUUCGCCACUACUCCAGUGGAGCAGUUCUUCAGUUAGAGAAGGGGGACACAGUCCAACUGAAGCUGGAGACGGACUACCAGAUCUAUGAUGAUGAACACAAUCACAACAUGUUUUCAGGCUUUAUGCUUUUCACAAUGUAAGAGAGUAUGAGAGCUCAACCUGAUUAAACAUCAGUAUAGCUCAAUUACUAAUGUCAAUUGGCAUUUCUGUUGCAUCUGAAACACAGUUUUCAACAAAUAAAUGUGAGCAAAAGUGAUAAAUCA
rnacentral:lncRNA from 1 species